rnacentral:tRNA from 1 species
UCCGUUGUAGUCUAGUUGUUUACGAUACUCGUAUCGGCUCUCACUCGAGAGACCGGGUUCAAGUCCCAGCAAUGGAA